rnacentral:lncRNA from 1 species
AGGAAGAAGAAGAGGGGGAGGAAGAGGAAAUUUCAAAACCUCCUGUUCCAAUAUGGAAAGCUCAAAAAAUUACUCCAUUAACCCUCUACACACCACCUCUUCCUGAAGUACCACCACAAUCUGACAUAACACCAACACAAGAAGAGCCCCAAACAUCUGAAGUUGGCGAAAAAGUUACUGCUCGACACCUUCCUGAUGAUUCAGGAAUAGGUGAACUUGAUGCAGAAGAGAAUGCAAGAGAAGUUCUAGAAAGCCAUAUGUCUGAAGACAUAAAACAAGAAAGUGCUGAGGAGGAAGAAAAAGAAAGACAAUCACAAUCGUCAAAUUAAAAUGAACAAAUCAACAGAAAAGGAGAUUGUGUGCCAGGUUUCUAACAUUAUAAUAAUCUUACUUUAUAUAGUUCACUAAAUUGGUUUAAAUAAGCUAAUAAAC